GACAAGAUGGAUCGUCUGUGCGAACAGGCUUCUCCCGGGGUCCCCGCUGCUGGGCUCUACCUCUUUAUACACCAAGAAGAUCCUGAUGUGGGCUCUAGGACAUCAAUAUCUUCACUAAAGGAGAUUUACACCCUCCACGUUGUCACCACCCACUGCAGUGUCUCUGCAGGACCUACUGGAUUCUGGGAAACUCCUGGAAGAUGGGCAUUUCUGAAUCUCAUGGCGGCAGCCACGACCUGAUCGAAUCUUCCGGGAGACCUGUCUGCCCUACCUGCCUCCAAAAGGCCCAGUGGCUCCCACUUCCCUGUAUAAGACACACCAUUGCAGCUGAGUGGGACCUGGCCACUAUGUGGACUGAACAAGAGAGGAAUGAAGAUGGUGGGGACGGAGGGAGGUGUGAUGGACGCGUGCCCGACACCACGCUCGUCUUACAGGAGACGCUGAAGGUGCACUGUUCACCCCUGAAUGCUCUGCAGAUGAACGGAGAGUCUGCAGCUUGGACCACACACACUCCUGUUAAAGUCGUCGGCUUCAAGGACUCCCUUCUGAGAUGCACAGAAUCCAUAAGCUGCACUGUAGUUCUGGUGAUUCAUGUUGAACCUACACCUGUGCCUUUUUAAAAUUUAAAUCUACAAAAUGUGCUGAGCCCCUAGGCAUCUGUAUUGGAGUACAUUUCCAGUCUCCUGACAUGAAUGCCCUCGCUCUUACUGAUGGAAACAGACUGUGGGGUUGCUGUGUGAUUUCCAUUCAUAUUGUAUUAAAAUGUUCGAGAUGCAUUUUCUGUCAAAGAGAGUAUCAUUUCAUAAAAUUAUUCACUAUUCCCCCAUAUGGAAAUGUCAGACAUUGCUAAUGUAAUCCUCAAAGAAUUACCCAGAGUGUCUGUAGACCAAGAGACAGAUUUCCAGUGCUGUAGCACAGGACGGCUUGUUCACUCUGUUCUUGGGGAAGCAGUGUGAGUUGUGAGUUUUCCCUCCAUGUCUACGCAGGGUCACCCUGUGAGCGACGUCUUUUACCUUUUUCUGCUUCUCUCAGUUACCCUAUGGCACAGAAACUGAAAACAUCAUAAAAAACCAGAAGAUGUGUUAUUUCCUUGGUUUUGUGACACUCUUUUUUUUUUUGGUUUUGUGACACUCUUCAUGAGUGACUUUCACCUUUGCUACACGUAGAGAGCAUCUGCAAAUACACAUUCCAGUCUAGAUGAACCUAUCUGAGGGCAGCGGUGGAGACGCAGGCGUAGAGAACAGACUUGUGGGCUCAGUGUGGGGAGGAGACGGUGGGAUGAAUUGAGAGGGCAACACGACGUGUACAUGACCAUGUGUAAAAUUAGGCAGCCAGCGGGAAUUUGCUGUAUGAUGCAGGGAGCUCAACCGCUGCUCUGGGACAACCUGGAGGGAGGGGAUGGGCUGGGAGCUGGGAGUGGGGUU
ensembl:lncRNA